rnacentral:rRNA from 1 species
GUGGGGAAUCUUGCACAAUGGGGGAAACCCUGAUGCAGCGACGCCGCGUGAACGAUGAAGCCCUUCGGGGUGUAAAGUUCUUUCGACGGGGACGAUAAUGACGGUACCCGGAGAAGAAGCUGCGGCUAACUACGUGCCAGCAGCCGCGGUAAUACGUAGGCAGCAAGCGUUGUUCGGAAUUACUGGGCGUAAAGAGUGCGUAGGCGGUUGACUAAGUUUGGUGUGAAAUCUCCCGGCUUAACUGGGAGGGUGCGCCGAAAACUGGCCAGCUAGAGUGUGGGAGAGGAUAGUGGAAUUCCUGGUGUAGCGGUGAAAUGCGUAGAUAUCAGGAGGAACACCUGCGGUGUAGACGGCUAUCUGGACCAUGACUGACGCUGAGGCACGAAAGCGUGGGUAGCAAACAGGAUUAGAAACCCUAGUAGUCC